GAGGCUGACAGCUUGUUCCAGGAUCUCAAACAGGCUGUUAAAAGCAGGAAAGUGCGGAAAGCAAGGCGGCAGCCUGCAGCCCAGACGGUGAUGAGAGCAGGGUUCACCUCAGCAGUUACAGGCACAAGGUCGCCGCAGUGGCGUGUCACGAAGUUGGCCAACAAACUUUUAAAAGACACCCCCGCGACACCGGCCUGCAGCUUUGAAGAAACGAUGCUUGAAAACCCCAAGAGUGUGAGGCCACUGGGUACAGAGGCUGCGCUGGACGUGUGACUUCUCACAAACAGCUGGGAGCUGGGCUCCUGAGCUUAGACUGCAAAUGCCAAGGGCAGACGCAGCAACGAACGCCAGGUGUGCUGAGCGCCCUUGAUAAAUAGUAAAUUCCAGUGGGGACAUCAUGUCAUAUCAGGCGUGUCUUCAGGACUCAGAGGCACUAAGAGAACCUUGAGAAGCAGGAUCCGGGCACUACAGCAAUUCCUCAGGACGGUGGAAUGUCUGCGCUGCACAAAGAGGUUGGAUAAUCACCAAGAAAGAUGACCUCUGCUUGUCCCAGAGCUAAUCAUCCUUCGAAAGAGGAACUUGAGAGAAAAUGGAAACAACAGUUGGGGGCACAGGCUGUGGUGAGCAGUGAGCACCCCUGGCCGCCUCCCCUUCCUGAGCUGCUGCGAUGCUACAGAUCUCCACUGGGUGCAGUGGGCACCUGCACGUCCCACAGAUUUCCUUCUCAUUGUGGACACUCUGCUGUGUGGCUCCCUAAUUGUACAUGUGCAGUGUCUGCAGCAAAUGGAGGUUCCUGGGCUUCUGCUCGCCGUGGAUCACAUGUUUAAUCCGUAUAUAUAAUUACUUACCACAGGCUGCCAGGCCAGAUUUUCUGAGCAUUAUUUUGAUUAACUUAAGCUCGAUAAUUAUGUUUCAGAGACCACAGCAGUACACAUGGAAUUUGUAGAUUAUGCCGCCAGCUUACUUGAUUCCAAUAACAUGUUUUCUCUGACAGUGGGUUAGUUUUGAUUUUUUUAAAUGGCCAUCUGAUAAUUAUUUAGGUUUCAAAGUUUCUACUCAAACAAAAUCAUCCUGCUAUUUAAGACAGUUUCUCACAUAAUGAACAGCCUAGACUGAAAUAGUAGGCUCCCAUGUAUUUUCACAGGCACAAAUCUGUUUUUACUACUCUACGCCCUGCCGGGUGGCAGGCUCGGACACAUCACACAGACUUUCGGAGCCGGGGCCUCUGUAAAAUGGGGUAGAGGACCUCAUUCUGUAUGUGUCUCCUGGGGCAGCCAUAACAAAGUACCACAGACCUGGUGGCUUAAACAUGGAAAUUGCUCGUCUCACAGCUCUCCAGGCCAGAAUUCUGAGGUCAGGCGUGGACGGGACUGGUUCCUUCUGAGGGAGUGUCCACUCCAUGCCUCUCCUCGAUUGCGGUGGUCAGCUGGCAGGUCUGGCAUUACUUCACUGCUAGCCCAUCACCCACAUCUCUGCCUUAUCUCCCCAUGGCAUCCUCGCAUCGCUGUCUCUGUGUCCACAUUUCCUUUUGUGCAAGAAUACCAGUCUUUCUGGAUGAGGGCCCACUCUGAUGACCUUAUUUUCACCCGAUUACCUCUAUAAAGGCCCUAUUCACAAACAAGGUUACAUUUCGAGGUACUGGGAGUUAGGGCUUCAACAUAUUUUUUGGGGAGCGGGUAUACAAUUCAGUCCAUAACGCAUAUGCAUGCCUACUACAUAGGGUGAUAAUCCACAUGGGGGCCUCGGCAGUGUCUGGCACACAGCACGCUCAGCAACUUAGUUAUCAUUCGUGUGGCAUGUCUCAUGCCCCAACUCUCUCACCGACAAGUGCUGGAGAUUUUCUGUUUCUUUCGUUUCUCCAUUUCUCUCAUUUUUUCAUCAAGGGGAAAUGUAAAUGAAAAGGCAAAACACAGAUCAGUGCAAACAUAGAAGGUGCUACCACUGACCGUCAGCUCUUCUCACUUAACUAUUCCCUCACCUGGGCUUAUGUGGUAAAACAGAUGCAUGCGUGUAACACACAUGGAAACCUGCCUCGGCCAGUCUGUGUCAGUUAUUUGAAAAAUUAUCUUAAAUAGCAGAAUGAUUUUUGUUUGGGGGAACUUUGAUACUUAAGUAAUUGUCAGAUGGCCAUUAAAAAAAUCUAAAUGAACCCACUGCCAGAGAAAACAUGUUAUUGGAAUCAACUUGCCUCACUUAAUCUAAAAGAGUUUCUGAUUCUGCCUGGAGCACGUACUCCCCCUGUUCUCUUGACUAGCUCCUUCUUACCCCCUGAGUCUGAACCUGAAUACAGCCCCUUCAAAGAGCCUUCCCGGGCCACCUUAUUGCUGGCUGCCCCCCAGUCUCAUCAGAGAAUGUUCCCUUCGGGGGUGGCAGCCGCAGCCUUGCUGCUCCACAGAGCACACCAUCGGGGCUCCUUAGACUCACAGACUCUCAGGCUCAGCCAGGUGAGUCUGAAGCCCUGUGCCUUGUCCAGGCCAGUGGCCAGGAGCCCAUGUGUCUCUUGGCACGUAAACCAUAGACAGUCUGAGCGGAUGUGCUGAGCAUGUAGAAUACACACCAGAUUAAACCUAGUGCCAGAAAGAAUAUAACAUUUCUCAUUAACAUUGUUUUAUAAUGAUUACCUUUCUAAAUGAUAAUACUUUGGAUAUUUUAGGCUAAAAAUAUAUUACAGUAAGGUUUAAAAUUACGCGUGUGGCUCACAUUAUAUUUACAUGGGACAGGGCUGCUUUACAAUGUGAGAAGCGCCGCCCGAUAACGAUCCAGGAUGAGUGUUGGCAAAGAAUAGCCCGUGGGUCAGGUCUGGCCCAGGGCCUGUUCUGGUAAAUAAACUUCCCUUGGAACAGAGUCCUGCUUACUCAUAACACUGCGUCUGUGCUACACAGGCAGGUGCAGGCGGUGCCACAGAAAGCAAGUGGCCUGCAGGCCUGAAGUGUUUACUGCUUGGCCCUUCACAGGAAAGGUCAGCCACACCCUGGUCCAGGGCACCGGUCCCAGGGCUGGGCUGCCUGACUCCAAGUCAUGGCUCUACUGCUUUUCAUGUCUGUCCCCAUUUCUGUAUCUAAAAUCAGGGAUACCGGUUGUUAUAAACAUGAAUAUUUUAAAAUUCUGCCUUGCACACAGUAGGUUCUCAAUAAAUGUUUGCCACCAUUGCUAUUAUUGCUAACAAUCACCACAAGUUACAAUAACUCAUUUUUGCUUUGUUACCUUUUUUUCUUGGGUGUUGCCCCACCAUCCUAAAAACACCAGGAGAGCAGGGGCAUUUCCUGGCUUGUCCCAGCUGUUCAACUGAGCACAGUUUCUGGCACAUACUAGAGGUUCAAUAAA